rnacentral:lncRNA from 1 species
UUAUUUAUCUUCCUGCAUUUACAUUUCGUCGAAGUUUAUUUCAGUCUACCCACAUUAUAUCAGAUUCAAGUCUCCGAUUGGAGCAGGUUCUUAUUUUAUUCAGCUUUAUUUACGCUUUAAUUGCUUUAUUAUUUAUUAUCCUUGCUUUAAUUUCCAUGCAUUUUAUUUAUCGCAUUUUAUUUCCCCUAAUUUAAUUUCCUUGCCUUUUCCUUUAAACUACUUUAUUUGAAUCC